UUCCUUCUCUCUCUCCCUUCUCUUUCUCCGCCGAUCUCACCAUCGUCAUUCUCUCUCUCUCUCACACACACACACACACACACACACACACACACACACGUAGAGAAACACACACGAAGAGAGGAGAGCAAAGGAAUGGCGUGAUUCAAAGCCACUGCCUUCACCAAUCGAGCACCGGCAGUACCACCAUCCGGCCUCGAACUCGUCAUCUCCAAGCCCCAUCGCUUGUCUGACCUCGACCACAACUCAGUAAGUCGAAUAAUUGCACUCUCAAUGUUUAUUCUUGAUUUACUUUGGAGUUUUGAUUCAGGGAUCUAUUUUAGGGUUUUUAAUUUCGGUUCUCGAUUUUCGGGUUUUGUUUUGGGAUUUCAAUUUUGAAGGUUUCGACUCCAGGUUUAGUUUGGGGCUGCUCUACUUUGAACUUUGUUGAUAUGCUCUAGGUUUGAACUUUUUAUGGGCUUAAUAUUUGAGUUUGAAAUCACAUGUAACACGAAUCUGCCCGCCACCUGUUCAACUUUUUUUCCAAAUUAGUUUCAGUCUGUGGAACAAUGGUGUGGAUGGUGUUUAAAAGGGAUGGUUAUGCAAACGGUAGAGGAGGAAAAAAAUGAAAUGGGUGUGGUGAAUUUAUAUGUGGGUAAUCUCAAAUGGAUGUUGUUUGGCUAGGCCAAAUAUUCAACCACUAUGACCAAGUGGUUAUUGAUGUUGCCCUAAGAUCAGCAUUCUCCUGUGUGUAUGUCUAUUGGUGCGCGGUCGAAAAUUUAACCCAAUUGGUUACUGUAGAUGAUUAGUGAUUCCAAUUCCUUGAGAUGUUUAUUCUUCUUAUUGGGGGAGUGUGUCUGUGUUUAUUUGUCACCUUCUGUUGAGUUCUUUAUUUGUGUACAAACUAUGGAUGUGAAGAUGCUAGAGGACGUGAAGCACUUGACAAAGCUUUUGCAAAAUUUUCGUUGCUGAAUCAGCAAUAGUUUGUUUGCAGGUUUGCCUAGUGUUAACUGUCUUUUUCCUUACCAUAUGUGCGCCCUCAUGAAGCUUUGUUAAUAAGCUCUUCUCUAUCACAAUAAGUUUUUCUCAGGUACCCAUGCCAUCACUUGUGCUUUGUUUGCUUUCUUAGGCCUGGGCAUGAGGUGGGCUAUAAUUUCAACCCCGUUGGAUUCUCAUGGAUUGGGUUCCUUGCAAGAUUUUGGAGUGAAGUACCGAGAAGUGCCCCUUGCAGAGGAUAGCAGGCUUGAUUGAAAUGUGCUUGAGGGUGCAGUGACAGCUUGCAGAAGAUGGCAGGCUUAACUUGAAUUUUGCUCUCCCCUAUCGAGGUAUGUUCUACUCAUUUGAGCACACCUUUCAAUUCCAUCAUGACAGAUUUCCAGCAGACGUCUAACAUUUUUUGUUGGCCCGGUCCAAUGUUCUUCAUGAAAGACCUAAAAAUAGUUACAAUCGCAAACGUGGUGUCAAGAACAAGGUUCAUUGAAGUUUUGUGUUCACAUGGUUAUGUUGUAAAAUUAGAUCUAUGCCACUUUGUGGGUGAUUGAGGUGUAUAGGAAGGAUCGAGUUUGUUUUUCUUUUUUUCAUUUGUGUAUGUUAAGGUUGGAUACUCUGACCUCGAAAGACUAAAGAAUCAUCUAAUGAGUAGUUUUUGGAGUUGGGAAAAGUACUAUAAGUCAAAUUUAUUCAACUCAUAUUUGUUGUUGUGGUGUGCUGAUAUUGCAAUCAUGAACUAUGAAUUACAUGCAGGAAGUGAAUUUGAUAUUGAGUGCUGAAAAUUAGUAGAUUGUUUAGAUAAAGAGCUG